UUGGAGGGCAAGUCUGGUGCCAGCAGCCGCGGUAAUUCCAGCUCCAAUAGCGUAUAUUAAAGUUGUUGAGGCUAAAAAGCUCGUAGUUGAACCUUGGGCCUAGCCGGCCGGUCCGCCUCACCGCGUGCACUGGCUCGGCUGGGUCUUUCCUUCUGGAGAACCGCAUGCCCUUCACUGGGUGUGCUGGGGAACCAGGACUUUUACUCUGAAUAAAUUAGAUCGCUUAAAGAAGGCCUAUGCUCGAAUACAUUAGCAUGGAAUAAUAG
rnacentral:rRNA from 1 species